AUUGAACGCUGGCGGCAUGCCUUACACAUGCAAGUCGAACGGUAACGCGGGGGCAACCCUGGCGACGAGUGGCGAACGGGUGAGUAAUACAUCGGAACGUACCUGGUAGUGGGGGAUAGCCCGGCGAAAGCCGGAUUAAUACCGCAUACGCACCACGGUGGAAAGCGGGGGACCGCAAGGCCUCGCGCUAUCAGAGCGGCCGAUGGCAGAUUAGCUAGUUGGUGGGGUAAAAGCCUACCAAGGCGACGAUCUGUAGCUGGUCUGAGAGGACGACCGGCCACACUGGGACUGAGACACGGCCCAGACUCCUACGGGAGGCGGCAGUGGGGAAUUUUGGACAAUGGGGGAAACCCUGAUCCAGCGAUGCCGCGUGUGUGAAGAAGGCCUUCGGGUUGUAAAGCACUUUUGUUCGGGAAGAAAUCUGUCGGGCUAAUACCCUGGCGGGAUGACGGUACCGGAAGAAUAAGCACCGGCUAACUACGUGCCAGCCGCCGCCGUAA
rnacentral:rRNA from 1 species